rnacentral:misc_RNA from 1 species
CGAUGAUACCCCAUCAUCCACCGUGGAUUGAUCACUUGCAGUAUUAGCAGUGAGAAGGUGCAAACCAGUAUUUACAUCAAGGCUUGACCUUGGAGAAUUCUCCUUCUUGACAGCGACACAUGCGGCUUUGGAAUCAUGAUCAUCGCCGUGAAUGCAAUUAUCGGCAACAGCUCUAUUCUUCUUAUCUGAAAAGAAGUCGAUUUCACCAACAAGCACACGGUGGUCGUCGGGGGGAGAUGGUUUUGCCUGGUCAUCCAGGCGGGAAAGGUUGACAGGGAAGGGAAACAUCCGAAGAGAUUGAGCAGGAAUGUCAAGGUUUCUCUUAAUAUUGAGGAAAGAGUCGAAGACUACUGGUACAGAAGGAGGCCUGUUGGUGGCUUUAGAAAAGAAGGAGACAGGAGGAUCAGAAUCAAGGGUGAGACCCCAUGCUUUGUCCAUAAAUCAAGAAAGAGAGUGAGAGAAAGAAAAGGAGAGAGGGAAAACAGAGACCAAAAGCACAGA